rnacentral:rRNA from 1 species
UACGGGGGGGGCAAGCGUUGUUCGGAAUUACUGGGCGUAAAGGGCUCGUAGGCGGCCAACUAAGUCGGAUGUGAAAUCCCCAGGCUUAACCUGGGAACUGCAUCCGAUACUGGAUGGCUUGAAUUCGGGAGAGGGAUGCAGAAUUCCAGGUGUAGCGGUGAAAUGCGUAGAUAUCUGGAGGAAUACCGGUGGCGAAGGCGGCAUCCUGGACCGACAUUGACGCUGAACAGCGAAAGCCAGGGGAGCAAACGGG